rnacentral:misc_RNA from 1 species
AUGAGAACUUGCCCUGCGGGGUAGAUCUCCCACCCUUUGUGUAAUUGCUACCAUUGUUGCUUUGCCGGGCCCGGCCCUAGGGCCCGCCGGCUUCGGCUGGCCAGCUGCCCGGCAGAGGCCCCAAACUCUUGUUUUCUUGCCGUCUGAGUAGCUACCAAAUAGUUA